GACGAACGCUGGCGGCGUGCCUAACACAUGCAAGUCGAGCGGGAGACUUCGGUCUCCAGCGGCGGACGGGUGAGUAACACGUGGGUAACCUGCCUUGUAGAGGGGGAUAGCCUUCCGAAAGGAAGAUUAAUACCGCAUAACAUUGAGAUAUCGCAUGAUAUUUCAAUCAAAGGAGCAAUCCGCUACAAGAUGGACCCGCGGCGCAUUAGCUAGUUGGUGAGGUAACGGCUCACCAAGGCGACGAUGCGUAGCCGGCCUGAGAGGGUGAACGGCCACAUUGGAACUGAGACACGGUCCAGACUCCUACGGGAGGCAGCAGUGGGGAAUAUUGCACAAUGGGCGAAAGCCUGAUGCAGCAACGCCGCGUGAGUGAUGAAGGCCUUCGGGUUGUAAAGCUCUGUCUUCUGGGACGAUAAUGACGGUACCAGAGGAGGAAGCCACGGCUAACUACGUGCCAGCAGCCGCGGUAAUACGUAGGUGGCAAGCGUUGUCCGGAUUUACUGGGCGUAAAGGAUGCGUAGGCGGAUACUUAAGUCAGAUGUGAAAAUCCCGGGCUUAACUUGGGAACUGCAUUUGAAACUGGGUAUCUAGAGUGCGGGAGAGGAGAGUGGAAUUCCUAGUGUAGCGGUGAAAUGCGUAGAGAUUAGGAAGAACACCAGUGGCGAAGGCGACUCUCUGGACCGUAACUGACGCUGAGGCAUGAAAGCGUGGGGAGCAAACAGGAUUAGAUACCCUGGUAGUCCACGCCGUAAACAAUGAAUACUAGGUGUGGGAGUUGUCAUGACUUCCGUGCCGCAGUUAACACAAUAAGUAUUCCGCCU
rnacentral:rRNA from 1 species